CUUAUACACAUUGUUAUGCCCAUGAACUGCAUCAAUCCCAUAUAUCAUCGGAAUCCCGAGACGGGUGGAUAAAGCCGCCUUCUGCAUCGCAUUCACCGUCUCGA